UUUCCGUAGGUGAACCUGCGGAAGGAUCAUUAUCGAGUUUGAAAGGAGUUGAUGCUGGCCUUCCGAGGCAUGUGCUCGCUCCUGUCAGAUCCAACUCAACACCUGUGCACAUCAGAGGGCGCGAGUGGUCUGUUCCUUGCCAACGGGCCUCGAUUCCUCCGUGGGUCGAGGCUUGGAGGGGUGGAUCCUGGCGACCUCCUUCACAUCACAAACUCUUGAACGUAUCCAGAACGUGUAGCAGCCCUCGUGUGGGGCAGUCUUAAUUACAACUUUCAACAACGGAUCUCUUGGCUCUC
rnacentral:misc_RNA from 1 species